rnacentral:lncRNA from 1 species
ACUCAUCACAGCAGAAUUCUGAUGAGGCUGGGCUCUUUCGCAGCUGGCAUUUGAUGAGAAAAGGGAAUUGAAAUGUAGGUGAUUGAUUUGGACCUGGAGAAGCUGAUUGGAUGUCACCCUGUUCUUCCCGACAAUGGGGACCGGUCUGUGCAAAGGGGACUUCCUGUGACCCCUGCGGGUCCACCGGAAGUUCUGAUUUCUCCCCGUGGAAUAGGGGCGCGAAGGCUGCCCUGUCACACACGGCCCAAGAGAUUGAUUACCUGGGCUCUGGCAGCCUCUCUGGACAGGGGUCUCCCUAUGUUGCCCAUGUUGAUCUCAAACUCCUGAGCUCAAGCAAUCCUCCUGCCUUGGCCUCCCAAAGUGUUGGGAUUGGAGGCUUCAGCCACCACACCAGGCCAGUUUAGUAAGAUUCUGACCCUCGAUGAUCCUGUGGAUAAUUUUUCUCUUCAAAUGUCACAUGUCGGAUACCUGUUGAAUGGCUCACUCCAGAGAGGAAAAAGAAGACCAGAACUGAACCAAGCUUGCCCAGUCAUGCAUCCUAAAAUAUCAACUGGAAGGCACUCUCUGUCCCUUGGUGGGCAGUAGGAAAGGCUACCGAAAGGAAGCAUCUAGAGAGGGAAGAAGCAUUUCUCCUUCUAGGAGAACUGACCAACCUUGUAAAGU